GCUCCAAUAGUGUAUAUUAACGUUGCUGCAGUUAAAAAGCUCGUAGUUGAAUUUCUGGAGGGCUGUCUUACCACGGGUUCGUACGGCCACUUCAUCCGCGCCGGAAGGCACUACAGUAUUACUUAGUGUUGGAUGCGUGUUACUUUGAAGAAAUUAGAGUGUUCCAGGCAGGCUUUGCUUGAAUACAUCAGCAUGGAAUA
rnacentral:rRNA from 1 species